GUCCAGGGUAGCCUAGUGGACAUGGCAUCUGCCCGGUAAGCGGAACACUGUGGGUUCGAUUACCAACCUUGGACA